rnacentral:piRNA from 1 species
UACAACAUCUAGUGAGAAUUUCUGGUGAGA